UCAGACCUGAAACUUCAGAGCCACAUAAAGACAGUUACAAAGUCGCCUUCUAUCACCUGAAGAACAUUUUCAGGGUUAAAGGACUAAUGUUUCAGCAAGAUCUAGAGAAACUCAUCCAUGCUUUUAGCUUUAGU